rnacentral:rRNA from 1 species
CAUGGAGGGUGAGAAUCCCGUCCGGUUGAUCAUUGCGUUUUACGAUACGCUUUCUAAGAGUCAAGUUGUUUGGGAUUGCAGCUUAAAAUGGGAGGUAAAUUUCUCCUAAGGCUAAAUAACGGCGAGAGACCGAUAGCGAACAAGUACCGUGAGGGAAAGAUGAAAAGAACUUUGAAAAGAGAGUUAAACAGUACGUGAAAUUGUUGAAAGGGAAACGAUUGAAGCCAGUCGUACUGACGGGAAAUCAACUUCUCGAGUGCUUGUCGUGAAUGACGUUGAGCUUCACGGCCUUCGUUGCUUGCGUUAUGGUGCUUUUGAGGUGUACUUUUCCGUAUGGUAAGUCAACAUCGAUUUUGAUCGUCAUAAAAUGAUCGGAGGAAUGUGGCUCUGAUCUUGUAUCGGAGUGUUAUAGCCUUUGAUAGAUGUGACGAUUGGGAUCGAGGAUUGCAACGAAUACCCUUUGGGCUAUCCGUCUGACCUCUGAAAGUCGCUCGGGUGUCGAAAGCGUGCUUAUGACAUUCUAGUUGGCGGUCAAAAGGUUAGAACGUGAUUACAUUCGUUAAGGAUGUUGACGUAAUGG